UACGGGGGGGGGCAAGCGUUGUUCGGAAUUACUGGGCGUAAAGGGCGCGUAGGCGGCUCGGUAAGUAGGGGGUGAAAUCCUGCGGCUUAACCGCAGGGCUGCCUUCUAAACUGUCGAGCUUGAGCACGGUAGAGGCAGAUGGAAUUCCCGGUGUAGCGGUGGAAUGCGUAGAGAUCGGGAAGAACAUCAGUGGCGAAGGCGGUCUGCUGGGCCGUUGCUGACGCUGAGGCGCGACAGCGUGGGGAGCAAACAGG
rnacentral:rRNA from 1 species